GCCGGCAAGAAGUGCCGCGCGGAAACCGUACCAAAAACCGACACAGGUGGGUGGGAUGAGUAUUCCAAGGCGCUCGAGGGAGAACGUCUCGUGAAGGAACUCUGCAAAUUGGCCCCGUAACUUCGGGAUAAGGGGCGCUCACAUCCGUGUGAGCCGCAGCGAAAAGGGUCUAGCGACUGUUUACUAAAAACACAGGUCUGUGCGAAGGCGUGAGCCGCGGUAUACAGACUGACGCCUGCCCGGUGCCGGUAAGUUAAGGGAGGCGGUUAGCCCGUAAGGGUGAAGCUGGCGACCGAAGCUCCGGUAAACGGCGGCCGUAACUAUGACGGUCCUAAGGUAGCGAAGUUCCUUGUCGGGUAAGUUCCGACCUGCAUGAAUGGCGUAACGACUGGACCACUGUCUCCACGAGAGACUCGGUGAAACCUGUAGUUGUCGUGAAGAUGCGACAUACCCGCAGCUAGACGGAAGACCCCGUGAACCUUAACUGCAGCUUGGUAUUGGUUUAGCCCGGCAUGCGUAGCGUAGGUGGGAGGCC
rnacentral:rRNA from 1 species